UACGGAAGGCAGCAGUGGGGAAUAUUGCACAAUGGGCGCAAGCCUGAUGCAGCCAUGCCGCGUGUAUGAAAAGGCCUUCGGGUUGUAAAGUACUUUCAGUCGUGAGGAAGGUGUUAAGGUUAAUAACCUUAGCAAUUGACGUUAGCGACAGAAGAAGCACCGGCUAACUCCGUGCCAGCAGCCGCGGUAAUACGGAGGGUGCGAGCGUUAAUCGGAAUUACUGGGCGUAAAGGGCACGCAGGCGGUUAAUUAAGUUGGAUGUGAAAUCCCCGGGCUUAACCUGGGAAUGGCAUUCAAGACUGGUUAGCUAGAGUCUUGUAGAGGGGGUAGAAUUCCAUGUGUAGCGGUGAAAUGCGUAGAGAUGUGGAGGAAAUACCGGUGGCGAAGGCGGCCCCCUGGACAAAAGACUGACGCUCAUGUGCGAAAGCGUGGGGAGCAAAACAGGGAUUAGAUACC
rnacentral:rRNA from 1 species